rnacentral:rRNA from 1 species
GACGAACGCUGGCGGCGCGCUUAACACAUGCAAGUCGAGCGAGAACCAGGGCUUCGGUCUUGGGGACAGCGGCGAACGGGUGAGUAACACGUGGAUAACCUGCCCUCGGCACCGGGAUAGCCCAGGGAAACCCGGAUUAAUACCGGAUGGCCCAGCUGGCUCACGAGCCGGCUGGAAAAGGUAGCUUCGGCCUCCGGCCGAGGAUGGGUCCGCGGCGGAUUAGCUUGUUGGUGGGGUAACGGCCUACCAAGGCUCCGAUCCGUAGCUGGUCUGAGAGGCGGAUGAGCCAGACUGGGACGUAGACACGGCCGGAGCUCUUACGGUGGGCAGCAGUGGGGAAGCUUGCGCAGUGGGCGAAAGCCUGCCGCAGCGACGCCGCGGGAGGGAGGAAGGCCUUCGGGUUGUAACCCUCUUUCAGGAGGGACGAAGCUACUCAGGUGAAUAGCCCAGAGGGUGACGGUACCUCCAGAAGAAGCCCCGGCUAACUACGUGCCAGCAGCCGCCGUAAAAC